rnacentral:rRNA from 1 species
UCAGUCGACUCCUACGGGGAGGCAGCAGUGGGGAAUAUUGCACAAUGGGGGAAACCCUGAUGCAGCCAUGCCGCGUGUGUGAAGAAGGCCUUCGGGUUGUAAAGCACUUUCAGUAGGGAGGAAGGUAGUGUAGUUAACACCUGCAUUAUUUGACGUUACCUACAGAAGAAGCACCGGCUAACUCCGUGCCAGCAGCCGCGGUAAUACGGAGGGUGCGAGCGUUAAUCGGAAUUACUGGGCGUAAAGCGCAUGCAGGCGGCCUGUUAAGUCAGAUGUGAAAGCCCGGGGCUUAACCUCGGAAUUGCAUUUGAAACUGGCAGGCUAGAGUCUUGUAGAGGGGGGGUAGGAAUUUCAGGUGUAGCGGUGAAAUGCGUAGAGAUCUGAAGGAAUACCAGUGGCGAAGGCGGCCCCCUGGACAAAGACUGACGCUCAGAUGCGAAAGCGUGGGGAGCAAACAGGAUUAGAUACCCUGGUAG